rnacentral:tRNA from 1 species
GGCUUCGUAGCUCAGCUGGUAGAGCGCUUGCCACCUUGAGGCAUGGUUUUUCUGUCGCUGGUUCGAAUCCAGCCGAAGCCA